UGGGGAAUUUUGGACAAUGGGCGCAAGCCUGAUCCAGCAAUGCCGCGUGAGUGAAGAAGGCCUUCGGGUUGUAAAGCUCUUUUGUCAGGGAAGAAACGGUGAGGGCUAAUAUCCCUUGCUAAUGACGGUACCUGAAGAAUAAGCACCGGCUAACUACGUGCCAGCAGCCGCGGUAAUACGUAGGGUGCAAGCGUUAAUCGGAAUUACUGGGCGUAAAGCGUGCGCAGGCGGUUUUGUAAGUUUGUCGUGAAAGCCCCGGGCUCAACCUGGGAAUUGCGAUGAAGACUGCAAGGCUUGAAUCUGGCAGAGGGGGGUAGAAUUCCACGUGUAGCAGUGAAAUGCGUAGAGAUGUGGAGGAACACCGAUGGCGAAGGCAGCCCCCUGGGUCAAGAUUGACGCUCAUGCACGAAAGCGUGGGGAGCAAACAG
rnacentral:rRNA from 1 species